rnacentral:rRNA from 1 species
CGAGCGGAAACGAGUUAACUGAACCUUCGGGGGACGUUAACGGCGUCGAGCGGCGGACGGGUGAGUAAUGCCUAGGAAAUUGCCCUGAUGUGGGGGAUAACCAUUGGAAACGAUGGCUAAUACCGCAUGAUGCCUACGGGCCAAAGAGGGGGACCUUCGGGCCUCUCGCGUCAGGAUAUGCCUAGGUGGGAUUAGCUAGUUGGUGAGGUAAGGGCUCACCAAGGCGACGAUCCCUAGCUGGUCUGAGAGGAUGAUCAGCCACACUGGAACUGAGACACGGUCCAGACUCCUACGGGAGGCAGCAGUGGGGAAUAUUGCACAAUGGGCGCAAGCCUGAUGCAGCCAUGCCGCGUGUGUGAAGAAGGCCUUCGGGUUGUAAAGCACUUUCAGUCGUGAGGAAGGUUUAUGCGUUAAUAGCGUAUAGAUUUGACGUUAGCGACAGAAGAAGCACCGGCUAACUCCGUGCCAGCAGCCGCGGUAAUACGGAGGGUGCGAGCGUUAAUCGGAAUUACUGGGCGUAAAGCGCAUGCAGGUGGUUUGUUAAGUCAGAUGUGAAAGCCCGGGGCUCAACCUCGGAAUAGCAUUUGAAACUGGCAGACUAGAGUACUGUAGAGGGGGGUAGAAUUUCAGGUGUAGCGGUGAAAUGCGUAGAGAUCUGAAGGAAUACCGGUGGCGAAGGCGGCCCCCUGGACAGAUACUGACACUCAGA